GGAGACGUGUCCGAGCGGCUUAAGGUGCAAUCUUGGAAAGGUUGUGUGGGGGAAACUCCACCGUGAGUUCGAAUCUCACCGUCUCCGCCA
rnacentral:tRNA from 1 species